rnacentral:rRNA from 1 species
CCUACGGGUGGCAGCAGUGAGGAAUAUUGGUCAAUGGACGAGAGUCUGAACCAGCCAAGUAGCGUGAAGGAUGACUGCCCUAUGGGUUGUAAACUUCUUUUAUCUGGGAGUAAAGUGUUCCACGUGUGGGAUUUUGUAUGUACCAUGUGAAUAAGGAUCGGCUAACUCCGUGCCAGCAGCCGCGGUAAUACGGAGGAUCCGAGCGUUAGCCGGAUUUAUUGGGUUUAAAGGGCGCGUAGGUGGAGUUUUAAGUCAGAUGUGAAAGUUUGCGGCUCAACCGUAGAAUUGAAGUUGAAACUGGCAGUCUUGAGUACAGUAGAGGUGGGCGGAAUGCGUGGUGUAGCGGUGAAAUGCUUAGAGAUCACGAAGAACUCCGAUUGCGAAGGCAGCUCACUGGACUGCAACUGACACUGAGGCUCGAAAGUGUGGGUAUCAAACAGGAUUAGAUACCCGAGUAGUC